UUUUUGGUUUUUGUUUACAAUUUAACACUGACUAAUCUGAUUUGGUUAAAAGGUAAAUAAAAUUUGAUUAAAGAUUGUUUCACUGAUGAUUCUUUACCACCGCUUUGCCCUGGACUAAUCUGUUUCCAUUUUCAAUUUGUACCUUUCUUUCCCUCUUUCAUGAUGAAAGUGUCUUCUUUUCCCACACACCAACCGUUCAUUUCUUUGUAAUUUUAUGAUUUGACCUCACCCCAAACUUAUCUCCUAAUAAUUAAACUUAUCUCCUAAUAAUUAAAUGAAACAAAACAUGUACAGGAUUUUGAUUGGAGACAGGAAAACAUUAGGCUGUAAUUAAGGAAAAUUAGUUCCUUCUUUUGUGAGAAACAUCCAAACACAGGGCUGCUAUCUUCAAGGAUAAAACCUUAAUUUCCUCUUUAUAAAAACUUAACGAAAAUAGUAAGGAAGAAGGGAGGAGAGAAGGUUGGUCAGAGAUAGGAAGAAGUAAGUAAAGAGGUUGGACAAAACUCUAUAGAUCUAGCCAAGUAAGACUUACCUUAGAUCAUGUAGAAGAAUUGGAGCUGCUAAUUUUCGCGAAAAAGAACAAAGGAAUCCAGGUUGAAAAGCAGAUGGAGCAAGUGCAGAUUAAACCAAAUGUAGAAAUCUGUCUCAAUGAUUUGAAGCUUGUUCUUGGACCAGAGUUGAAGAUAGUUUAUCCUUUGAUUCUUAAUUUCAGUGUAAGUGGAUAAUAUUAGUUUGAUGCAACACUUGGAUUUUGAACCAGUUCAAACUGAACGACCAGGAGAGUUAAUUGCUUACUACA
rnacentral:sRNA from 1 species